AAUAUUAGGUUGGUGCAAAAGUAAUUGUGGUUUUUGACAUUAAAAGUAUUGGCAAAAACCACAGUAACUUUUGCACAAACCUAAUA
ensembl:miRNA